GGUCAAUGAUGAACAACUCUUAAGGCUUGUUUCUCAAAACAUUCGCAGUGGCCGCCUGAGAGCUUUCGCAUUUCGCCGGGCUUGAGAGCUUAUGCUGCUUUAAUCCUUCCUUGGAUGUCUGAGACC
rfam:Gossypium raimondii chromosome 7, whole genome shotgun sequence.